rnacentral:rRNA from 1 species
UACGUAGGGGGCAAGCGUUGUCCGGAAUCAUUGGGCGUAAAGAGCGUGUAGGCGGCUUGGUAAGUCCGCUGUGAAAGUCCAGGGCUCAACCCUGGAAAGCCGGUGGAAACUGUCAAGCUUGAGUCCGGAAGAGGCGAGUGGAAUUCCUGGUGUAGCGGUGAAAUGCGCAGAUAUCAGGAGGAACACCAAUGGCGAAGGCAGCUCGCUGGGACGGUACUGACGCUGAGACGCGAAAGCGUGGGUAGCAAACAGG